rnacentral:rRNA from 1 species
GGCCAGACUCCUAACGGGAGGCAGCAGUGGGGAAUAUUGCACAAUGGGGGAAACCCUGAUGCAGCGACGCCGCGUGAGCGAUGAAGUAUUUCGGUAUGUAAAUCUCUAUCAGCAGGGAAGAAGAUGACGGUACCUGACUAAGAAGCCCCGGCUAACUACGUGCCAGCAGCCGCGGUAAUACGUAGGGGGCAAGCGUUAUCCGGAUUUACUGGGUGUAAAGGGAGCGUAGACGGCGAUGCAAGCCAGAUGUGAAAGCCCGGGGCUCAACCCCGGGACUGCAUUUGGAACUGUGUGGCUGGAGUGUCGGAGAGGCAGGCGGAAUUCCUAGUGUAGCGGUGAAAUGCGUAGAUAUUAGGAGGAACACCAGUGGCGAAGGCGGCCUGCUGGGCUUUUACUGACGCUGAGGCUCGAAAGUGUGGGGAGCAAACAGGAUUAGAUACCCCGGUAC